AUUUUUUUCAGCUAUAUAAAUCAUUAAGGUAGCAUUAUACUAUUUUACAACUUCAAGUUAGUACAAGCAUUGAUAAGGAAUCACAGAUUGAUGUAAAUACAUGUUUACAUCCUAAUGUGAUUCAUGAUUUGAUCAUUUUUUCCACAAUGAAUACGAUACUGGAAAAAAUGGAAGGAAAUAAUUAAACCCAGGACGAGAUCAAAAGUCAAGUACAAAAGUGAAAAAAGAUAAAAGUGUAAAGAUACAAUCCCUAAUAGUAUACCCAACAACAAACUCAGAGCAUAGGAUACCUCAAUAUGGAGCUGAGGUGUUUCACGGAGGAACUAUUUCGGCAGAGAGCAGCAGGAUCUGUGGGUGCAGAGAAAUUGGAAUUUUAGUGGACAAUGAUGACAUUCAGUGGAGCGCAGUGAUCCACCGACCAUCCGCUGCCCUGCUGCUUCUCCAUGUGGGAUCAGAGCACUUUAGGGCGAUGAUGUGAGAAAUCUCUCUGAUGGGUUACCGACACAUAACUGCAUGAACUGCUUUUACCUGUUCAGUCAGGUCUUGUGGUACAAUGGUCAGAAAUGUAUGCUGCAUACUGCUUUGAUAUUGGAAAGUGCCACAGCGUGGAGGUAUGCGUGAGGCCAAACACAGAAGUUUGGGCGUUUGUCCGCAGGAUUGCAGAAAAAACAUUAACACAAUUUUCAGGAAUGUUGGUGGAAGGUUGUAUAAUGAGCCGUUUCCCUUAAUGACCAGUUACCCAACUGUUUGUAUAGCUAAAAUAGUAUGAUAAUGUGACGUUUCAUGAUGAUUUUCUACACCAGCCAAAUAUCAAUGUCAACUUACAAAGCACAAAUUUGGGGCAGCAACGGUUGCAAUAAACAUGCAGUUAUUGUUAUGAAUUCAAGAAUAAAUAUAGCCUAGGUUUUGGAAAAAAACAGUUUUAGUUUUUUCAGCCUUAAAAUAAAUGUUAAAUUAAUUCAAUUUAUGUACUUUUAACAACACUUUGGGACACAAACACCAGUUUGUUUGACGCAUAAUGACCUUUACUGGAAAACCUGGUCUAAUCUAAUAUUGAACGUGGGUAUCGCCCUGGGUUUGAGAAAUAAUCUUGUUGGCGGGAUUUUGGUGUCAACAUAAUUGCACUAGAAAAUAUUUUUUAAACCGGCACUAUAUAGAUGUAGAAGCCAAUUCUCAUCUGUUUGCUAGUGUGCUUUGCCGCCAUCUACAGGCUUGGAGUGUGCUGAUGGGGUAUAAAGAGCUGUGUCUCAAAGUGCAGCCUUUUGCAGCAUUCGCGGUAGACCUGGGCUGCCUCCUUCAACAACCGCAUAGGCUGAACCGAGCAUCUCUGAAAUGGGACGGUGUGGCCUACGGGGGGACCUGCUUGCGUUACCUCCACUGCUCCCGUUGCCUAGCAACCUGCUGAUCUUAAUAAUAAAAGCCUUAAAACCCCAAAAACGUAUAGAGAUGAGGAAGAUAAACUUCUUCAUAUUUAAUUUAAUUA
ensembl:lncRNA